rnacentral:misc_RNA from 1 species
GAAAUGCGAUAAGUAAUGUGAAUUGCAGAAUUCAGUGAAUCAUCGAAUCUUUGAACGCAGCUUGCGCUCCUUGGUAUUCCUUGGAGCAUGCCUGUUUGAGUAUCAUGAAAUCUUCAACGUAAAUCUUUUGUUAAUUCAAUUGGUUUCUACUUUGGUAUUGGAGGUCUUUGCAGCUUCACACCUGCUCCUCUUUGUUCAUUAGCUGGAUCUCAGUGUUAUGCUUGGUUCCACUCGGCGUGAUAAGUUAUCUAUCGCUGAGGACACUGUAAAAGGUGGCCAAGGUAAAUGCAGAUGAACCGCUUCUAAUAGUCCAUUGACUUGGACAAUACUUUUAUGAUCUGAUCUCAAAUCAGGUAGGACUACCCGCUGAACUUAAGC